CACCGAACCCCGUUUCCGUGUCUCCACGUGCUCUCUGGACCAGCCGUGCUUCGCUGCCUGCCCCUUCCAGCUACUCUGUCUUUGCUCUCUGGCCUCCAGUGGAGUGGAGUUGAGUCGGUGGAGGAGGAAGAUCAGAAGGAUAUGGAUGGGCCUGUCCCUAGCAGGGCAGCUCUGGCUUCAUCUGUCAACUUGAUUAUGCAAAGCCUCUGUUUUCAACUGGCAUCUGAGGUGGAUUUCAAAGCCGUGACUCAUGUGUGCUUCAGGCCGAGGACCUGGAGAGCAGCUCUGUCCGACGAGCUCCCUGCACAGGCCUGGCUCUUUGCGAGAAGGUCCUCCAAGGCCCCGGUGGCUCAAUGAUUCACAAAACUCUGCGUGAGUAUGUGUUCAGGCGCUGACGCAACCACACGGUCCAAUUCUGGCAACCUGAGCGGGCAGUUCCGGAGUCCUUUUGAUGCAGGAGAACCGUCUGCCAUCGCUCUGCAAUCGCUCAGAUGACAGGAGUUGAGAAAACCCUCAGAUAAAUGUGCAAAAGUGUAGGUAAUCGACAGGAGAUGGUUCCCAGUUUUUUUUUUUUUCUAAAUGCUUUAGGAUAUGUGCACACAACAGAGCCAUGCAUAGAAAUUGCCAACAAUUCAGGACUGUUACAAUAUGUCCCGGGGGUGGGGUGGGGGGAGUGUGGUUGUGUAUGCGUGCAUACACAGGAUAGAUCUAGGAUAAGGUUUCUCAACUUUGACAUUAGGGAUACUUGGAGCUGGAUGAAUCACUGGGGGGCGGUGGGGGGGGGCUGUCCUGUGUGUUGUACGAUGUUUUGGAGCCUCUCCGACCCCUCCCCGCCGAUGCUCGCAGCACCCUCCAGGUGUGACCACUAAAACUGUCCUCAGGUAUUGCCAAAUGUCCCCGAAGCAAAGUCACCCCCCAGCUAAGAACCAGUAUUCUACAAAGCUGCAUGCCAAAAGUCGGAGCGCUGAAUUCUUCUGGGUUGCACAACUGGGGAAUCGUAAUCGAGAGGGGAUCCACUGGGUUUUCAAAAUGUGUGUUGCUUUGGUCGGGGAGGGGGCGCAUAGUCUAAUGGGAAAGCUUAGGUGCCUUGGAGUAAUCCGCAAACAAUUUAUCAAAGAAGGGUUAGGUUUUCAAAAUCCAGAAGAGUCGUGAACGUCGUGUUCAGGGCGUAAGUGUUCUGAACGCAAAGGGCUCGGUGCAUGGGUUAUUCACUGUGUACUUGGCGAAAGCUUGCAUCUGCAAGGUCCCUGAUGAUCCUUGUUUGUUCAGUCAGGAGGCAGCUUUCCGUCCCACUGGUAAGGAAGGUGUCCUGCCUGCUCUGCCCCCAAUAGUAAGACCCUCGGGGCGAUGCCAAAAGCGAGACAACUGUGCCAUCUGAGUUCAGUCCCUAAGAUCUUAAGGACGCCUCUCUCCACAAACCGCUCCUUGGAAACAUUCCUAUAAGAUUUCGGGAAACCCGUUCAAGAUCAUGGCUCAGGCUGGCUUUGGUCCAGUCCCUGAGGAGAUUGUGAAAAGCCAGGGGACCGAUUAGGGCCUCUGGAUGCUUUGCAAGCAUCCCGGGGGAUUCUGAUGUAACCUUACCCUGUUUCUUGCGGGCCAUCUUCUGCCAGCGUGUGCUGCUAGGGGCCCUCCGUGAUGAAUGAGGGGUGGAAUUGAAACCACGAUCAAAUGCUCUUCCGUGAUGACAAACCACGGCGAGGAGGCUGGGGUGGAGGCCGUACAGGUGGGCCCUUGGCCUUUGGCUAUCUCAAAGAUCGAUCUAGGUUUGGAGUCUCUGUGGGUUGGGCUUGGAGGGGCCCUCCCACACGUGCAAAGCAGCGAGCAAGACCAAAUGUGCUUUGGGGGACUGCGGACCUCCUAUCUGAGCCGCGUGGACGGAUGGCCAGCUGAAUUUGAUCAGGACGACUGAGAUCGGGCAUCCAAAGCCUGGAGGCCUGGGAUUUCUCAAUCACAAAGUAAGCUUCUGUGCCCCAAACCGUGCUGCUCGGAGGAGAGAGGGCUGGGGACACAGGGGCCCACAGGAGCUCUCUGCUCAGUGCUGGGGUGGAUUCCCAUACCCCAGCCCUCGUUCUGCCUGGUCCUGAUUCUCACGUCACUACCCAGAAGUCUUGCCCAGUUCCUGCCACCCUUGAUUUUUGAGCAGCUAUGUGUGCACGUUAGCAAAGCAGACUAGAAGAUCAAGCACGACCCGCCCAGGCGAACCGACCGGCUCAGGGUCUGCUCAGUCUGGCCUCCCGAGAGGCCUGGGCUGGAGGGUACAGCUCUGGUCCGCAAAGGAUGGGCCAGAAGCUCCGGGAACGAACCUCUGCAGAGAAGAGUCUGGCUUUCUGCGGCCAGCAGGGAUGAAGAGAGAAGAGGAAACCACUUAAAAAAAAAUUCAAGUCUGGAACUUAGCAGUAACAUACUAAGGCUCAUUGCUUAGUUCUAACAAAUGUAUAACCUAAGAGGUUAGAGGAAGCUGGAACGAGUUCCCACAGGGAACUUUCUAGGUCCGCAGGCUCGACGUUGGGUUCGUGUCCCCAUGUAGCCGUUUACCAGAAUUCUUCGCAGAAACAGAAUCGUGACAUUCCCCCAACCCUCCACCUCUACUUCCCCGUCUGUAAAAAUGGGCAACAGGGGUCCUGCCUAACGGAGCUGCAAUGGCUUAAAUGGCAUUAAAGUGUUUGUACUUUGCUGGGACACAGCUA